AUGUCCUGCGCUCCCGCCGUCUCCCUGUCUUCCGUCCGUGGACACGGGCGGCAGAUCUUGCGGCCGGUGGACGAGUGGAUUCGAGAGCCGAUAGGAGGCGGCGUGGGCUGUGGACUAGAGCGGCGGAGGCGGCGCGACUUCUCUGUGGCGGCGAUGCGGCCAGCGGCCAGCGCUCGGGUUGGGCGGUGGCGGAACAGGGGAUCGAGGAGCCGUCCAACUCUAAUCGUGUGUGCGUGUGCCCACCUCCCAAAGCUUGUUGCCACGUCUCUUUUCUCUACAAGUUUCUUAUAUCCGUGGUUCCCUGGUUUAAAGGGAUGGCCGGGGACGAUGGUGAGGGGAGGCCGGGGCUGCAAGGCUGGCGUGGGAGCACCACGGGAGACAGAGGCUAGCGAUUUAUCCAAGGGUCUGUGGCGCGUUUUGGCGAAGAAGAUGAGCAACAAAGUCAUUGGUUCGGAGGUUCCUUGCUCUCUCACCGUCAGAGUCGCCAGACUUGGAGGUUGCAGUACGAAUGAAGAUCGCCAAUCCCAUCUGCAUCAUUCGCGCCGCCCUAAAAGCCUCACCUCGGCGGCCUCCGUCGCUGCCCCUCAGCGGCCACCUCGCCGCCCCUCCAACACUCGCUACAUCGUCAUCCAACGUCGCCUUUCAGCGGCCACCCAGGCACCCAUGCGCCUGCUUGUACGUCAACGCCUGAUUGAAACCAUCGCUGCCCAGAUCUGCCUCAGUGUGGUUUGCAUCGUUGCGGCAACGACAUCUUCGAUCCUCAACUCCGGAACUAAAUCCAGAAGGACUACACCAUUCUCGCGGCUGUUUUGUGUACUACCAUCGACCUUAGCAUCUAUACGUGAGAUGUUUGCUGCUUUUCCCCCCUUCUUUACAAUGGCUGUGGAAAAAUGGAAAAUUAGCCUGUCCUAUGAAGAUGAGAAUCAUCAGCAUAAAGUUCUUGAGGGAUUAAUGGACAGAACAGAUAUCUCCUAUUAUGAGUUAGUCAAAUUGAUCGAAGAAGUUGGCUUCUCACCGGCAUAUGAUUUCUUGUAUUAUAGGAAGAAAUACCCGCGUGGUAGAGGCUAUUUGGUUCGCAUUGAUAAUGACAUUCAUGUGAGCAGAAUGAUAUCAGAACAUACCAAUGAGAAGAAGGUCCAGUUGUAUGUGUUCAACGAGGAGGCAAACAUUGAUGUUGCUCCAUCAGACCCUCAACGUGAGGAUGAUGGACCGAUUACCAGCUUAGAGGAGGAGGAGGUUGUCUUCGAUAAAGGAGCAGCAAAAACUAGGGCGGCGACGUCACAAAGUAAUAGCAACCGAACGGUGCGUAAAUCAAAAAGGUUGAAUGUGGUUCAGAGUCGUGCUGAGUACACCAAUGGGGAUUGUGACAAUAGUGAGCAUUCUCUGCUGUCACGUGAUUCAGUGUCCGAAACACAAGAAUUGGAGGAUAAUGAGGAUCAAGUUGGUCGUCGAGAUGAUCGCGUCGACAAUAUUUCUGGUAAUGGUGAAUCUCAUCCAGAAGUACUACAUAAUAAUAAAAGAAAGAGAGUUCAUGCCAAUGGACCUGAUGCAAAACACAUAGUGGUCAAUCCCAGAGAUACAACAAUGAAGCAUCAUCUUGAAAAUGAGGGUUGCAAUAAAUUCUCAUAUCAAGUACCAUCAUCACCAGCCCAUGCUGUUUUUGAUAGAGAGAUGAGAAAGAGCAGGGAGAAUAUGGAUGGAAAUUUGACUAGAGUACACAAACAAAGCACUCAAGACAAGUCUGUAGUCCAUGUGCCCUCUAAGCAGAAACGUAGUCCUUCCAUGGAGGUUGGCACAAAAGUGAUUCUGAAGUCUUCAAUAUAUCCAAACAAAAGGCAUGUGGCACAUGCUAGCAUUUUGGGUUGUAGUUCAAAAAAAAUGGUUGGUGGCGUUGAGCUAGGUCGGCAGUUCAUAGAAGUGCAAGUUGAUCAACCUAUUGAGGAAUGUGAGCGCUUGCUUGUAUUGAGAGGUUCAAUGGUUGAGUUGAUUCGGAUGCUUCUGCUCAUGAGGAAUCAAGAUGCAAAUAUGACAUAUUCAUGCAAGAAAGAUCCGAGGGGCACAUUCUAG
rnacentral:rRNA from 1 species